ensembl:lncRNA novel transcript
AAAAACACAAUACCAGGCAUACAUUUGGCAGAAUAAAUGAACCAGGCUUCAGCAGAAGAAACACUUCCUAUAAAUCUCGCCCAAACAGGAAAGGUAAGUGGCCUAAAAUUUUUCUAGUAUUUUCAAAAUGACCCAGUUACAAUAGGAAAUUUCUUCUUGUACUAUUGUCACUAAUCCCGACUCAAUAUCCUUUAAAGGACAAAGAUGCAUGCAUAAGUAAAAAUAUGACAGGUCACAAUCACGCCGGGGUGGUCCUGGGGCGAGGCCCAAGUUCCCUGCACGCGUCGGCACAAGCACGCACACUGUGACGGGGAGGACGUUUACGUACCAUGUCCACACCACUCCAGACUUGGUGAGCGCCAGUAGGAACUGAGCUCCACACUCAAUCUGGCACACCCCCUGUCCAUUUAGUCUCUCAAUGUUCUGGGGAAUGUUGCAGCCUUCACUUCCGCCCCGGCCCAAUUUUCCAAAGUCACCAUCACCCCAGGAAAAUACCAAACCUAGGUUUAAAAAUAGGGAAGGGAAGGGAAGGGAAGGGAAGGGAGAGAAGAAAGGAAAGAUAAAGAAAGCCCAACCUC